AUGACAACUGGAAAUAAUCAAUAUGUCUGUGUGCUGCAAAAGGAGAUAGAAGAAUUGAUUGAUAAGGAAAACAGACUUUGGUUCCAAAGAGCAAAGGUCACGUGGGCUAAAUUUGGAGACAGAAAUUCAAAAUUCUUUCAUAGUCAUGCAUCUCAGAGGAAGAGGAAAAGGAAAAACUUGAUCCUACAAUUGAAAGAUCCAAGUGGCCGAGUGUUUGACACCAAUGAGGACAUUGCUGAAUGCUUGGUGAACUAUUACCAGGACCUUCUCCAGUCACACAACCAACAAUUCUGUCCCGUGGCUACAAAUUCCAUUCAGAAAGUAAUUACUGAGGAAAUGUAUUCCAUGCUCUCAUCUGAAUUCACCCACUUGGAGGUAAAGCAGGCCAUCAACCAAAUGGCUCCACUAAAGACUCCUGGUCCUGAUGGUAUGCCUCCUAUCUUCUAUCAGCAUUACUGGAACUUAAUUGGUCAUGAUAUCUCUAAUUCUAUGUUGCAUUAUCUUAAUUCUGCUACUUUACCUAACCACCUCAAUCACACUUUUAUAACUCUCAUUCCAAAAAAGAAUAAUCCUGAAUUUGCCUCUGAAUUUAGACCAAUCAGUUUGUGCAAUGUUUUGUAUAAAAUUUUCUCCAAAUUGCUAGCAAAUAGACUUAAGAAAUUUUUUCCAAAUAUUAUUAUUGAGAAUUAGAGUGCUUUCAAAACAAGUCACCUUAUUUCUGAUAAUAUUAUGGUAGCUUUUGAAUCUUUACAUAGUAUGCAGAGACAAACAGGGAAGGACGACUAUAUGGCCAUCAAGCUUGACAUGACCAAAGCAUAUGACAGAGUGGAGUGGGAUUACCUGUCUUCAGUUAUAGAAAAAAUGGGUUUCAAUGAACAUUGGAUCCACCUUAUGAUGUUAUGUGUCAAAACUGUGACAUAUUCCAUACUUGUAAAUGGAGAACCCAAAGGUAUGAUCACUCCAACAAGAGGCAUUAGACAAGGAGACCCACUCUCCUCAUUCCUAUUCUUACUCUGCACUAAGGGUCUGAAUGGGCUGAUCAACCAAGCCUCUCAACAAGGACACAUAUAGGGCUACUCUCUUUGUAGAAAUAGUCCAAGGCUAACCCACCUUUUGUUUGCAGAUGAUAGCUUGUUGUUUUGCUAGGCCACCAUAGAGGAGUGCCAAAAAGUUCUGGAUGUAUUGGAAGUUUAUGGGAGAUGUUCAGGACAACAAAUUAACCAAAGCAAGACAACAAUCUUCUUUAGUAAAUCUACUAGUGAUGACAUCAGAAAUCAGAUAAAGUUGGCAUUGGGGUUUCCAGAAAUUGUUUAGUAUGAGAAAUACUUGGGCUUACCAUCACUGGUGGGUAGAAACAAAAAAGCAAGUUUCAACUACAUAAAGGAGCGAGUUUGGAAAAAACUACAGGGAUGGAAGGAGAAACUCCUCUCACAGGCUGGAAGGGAAAUCCUGAUCAAAGCAGUGGUCCAAGCCAUUCCAACCUACACCAUGAGUUGUUUCAAACUUCCUUUGGGUCUUUGCUUAGAAAUUGAGAGCCUGAUACAAAAAUUUUGGUGGGGCCAGAAAGGUGAAAGUGGGAAAGUCCACUGGGUGAAAUGGAAAACACUUUGUCUAUGAAAAAAGGAAGGUGGUAUGGGCUUCAAGGAUCUAGCCAACUUCAAUGAUGCUCUCUUGGCUAAGCAAGCUUGGAGAUUAAUUCAUAAUAAGGACUCCCUACUCUAUAGAGUCUUUAAAACGAAAUUUUUUCCAAACUGUAGCAUUUGGGAGGCUCAAGAAUCUAGCACCGAUUCAUAUGCUUGGAAUAGCAUCUUAAAAGGUAGAGAUGUUCUACUCAAGGGUGGAAGAUGGAGGAUUGGUUGUGGAGAGGCUGUUAGCAUAUGGAAUGAUGCAUGGUUACCAUCUUUGGAGCAUCCACGAGUCCUAUUCGAUAUUGUUCCAGGCUUUGAAGAUGGAAGAGUAUCUAACCUCAUCAAUCCACUCACAAGAACAUGGGAUCCCAAUUUAGUGCAUGGAUUACUAUCACCUGAUGAAGCUGACUUGGUCCUAAGCAUCCCAUUGAGCCGUACUCCUGUGGAAGACAAGAUCAUUUGGCCCUUCACCCCCCCAAGUAAGUAUACUGUUAAUUCGGGUUCAAAGUUUCUAACUAAAGUUAAUUUGGUGCAGGCCCCUACAACCAACCAGCAACGGCAAAGUGGCAUUUGCAACCAGAUUUGGGAGCCUAACGCCCCUAAUAAAGUGCGACAUUUCCUAUGGAGAGUAUGCAAGGAUGCGGUACCAUCAAAGCAGAACUUAAUGAGGAGGAAAAUCUUAAUGGAAGGCAAAUGUGAGCAGUGCGGUGUGGAGUCCGAAAUGGCAAUCCAUGCAGUUUGGGAAUGUGCCACGCUAAAUGAAAUAUGGGAGGCAGUUCUAGGAUUUGAAGAUCAAAGACAACAUGCUAUCUCAAACACUACAUACCUGAUUAGUGUGCUACAUGAGAAGAAGAAAAAUCUGGAAAUUAUGGCCAUGGUGAUGUGGACGAUUUGGUACUGACGCAACUAGCUCUGGGUCAGUUCAAAUGAGUUCCCAAAUCGUAGGUCCUCCAUCAAGCAACUCAGUCCUUGGCUAUCUUCCAACAAAGCCAACAAUCCAUUUACCAGCCUUCAGCUACGCCACGGCCUCCCCCCCCCCCCCCCCCCCCCCCCCCCCCCCCCCUCCCCCCCCCCCCCCCCCCACACACAAUGGAGUCCGCCACAGUCGAACUGUAUUAAACUGAAUUUCGACGACGCCAUGUUUUCGGAGUUAGGUAAGGCUGGAUUGGGAGCGGUCGUUCAUGAUAGUCAAGGUACUGUGAUUGCUUCGCUGUCGGAACAAGCUCCUAUGCCAUACUCAUCGGAUAUCGCGGAAGCCAUGGCAGCAGCAAGGGCGUUGGUCUUUGCACAAGAAUUGGGUAUAGCUGAAUUUGUUCUUGAAGAAGACUCGGAAGUUGUGAUUAACACCCUCCGUAGUAAGGAAGCCUCGUUCUUUUCGUUUGGCCACCUUAUGGAGUCAGCAAAAUCCAUGCUUGUUUCUAGUAUUUGCUUAAAUUUUGCCUAUGUACAUAGAAGUGGUAACAAAAUAGCCCAUAACCUAGCUAGACAUGUAAGAAAUGUCAGAGGUUUAUCAGUAUGGGUGGAAGAUGUUCCACCCCACCUAGUUGAUGUACUCUUUGCCGACCCUAGUUGAUUUUAUAAAAGUAGUAGGUUUCAUUCUCAAAAAGAAAAAAAAAAUUGUGAAAUUAAUAAAAGUACAAUGGUGUUUUGAAUAUAGCACAUCAAUUUUGCAAAGAGAGCAAGGAUAAAGGAAUUGUGCAAAUUUACAUUGAUACUAUUUAUUUUGCAUUUAGAUUUUUAUUCUUUUUUUACGUAUCACAAGAAUGAAGGAAGACAAUUGUUGGUUGUUUUUGUAUGUGUGUGAAGAAAGAUAAACAAUUUAAAAAAUCAAGAAAAUUUGAUAUUUUAAUGAAAUGUAGUGUAGAAUAGAUAAUCUUAUGUGAGGUAUUUUGAAAAGUGGGUAUGUAAAAUAGAAAAUGUAGGUUCUUAUACUAAAAUAAAUAGAAAAUUUGCAUGAGCUGAUGUAAAUACUCUAAAACCAUGUAAAUCUAAAUUGACACUAUUUAUUUUGCAUUUAAUUUUUUAUUUAUUUUUUCAUGUAUCUCAAGGAUGAAGGAAGAAAGUGGAUGGUAAUUGUUAUGUAUAAAGAAAGAUAAAUAAUUUUAAAUUUUUUUUUGAUAUUUUAAUGAAAAGUUGUGUAAAAUAAAUAAUUUAAUGUGAGAUGUUUUGAAAAGUGAGUACGUAAUAGAAAAAUUAAGUUUUUAUAUUAAAAUCGAUAUUAAUUUUUGCACGAAUGGAUAUAAAUGCUCCUAUAAAAAAAAUUUCUUAACACCAAUUUUACCUCAGUUAUUAUGUGUUUCUCACUUUCCACCAUUUGCUAUUACCCAUUUGAUUUGAUUUGCAACACUUCUGCUUGAAACAAAGGAAUCAGAUGAAUAAGAAGAGAAUUAUAAGAAUUUCGAUUACAUCCUUCUCUUAUUUUUUAUUUUUGAAAAAAGCGCAAGAGAAAAUAAACACAAUUAAGGUAGAAAAGAUGGGCAACCUACUAAUCUACCUUUUUUUCCCGCGUCAAUUACUUUUACAUUCUCACCCAUUUUCCCAAUAUACUAUAGGUCCAAGACUUAAAGUUUUUCACUACAAACAUUUUUACUUCAAUAAUUGUUGGUUCCAAGAAAUACUGAGAGAGAUGAAAGUUAGUGUUGAAGGCUUGAAGCAUUUUAAUAUUAAUUAAUUAAAAUGAAUAAAUAUUACAACAUAAAUGGAAAGAUGUGGAAGUGAAUAUGAAAGAUGAGGAGUUAGUGAAAAUAUUUAAUCUCACAUUGAAAAUGAAAGAGACUAUUUUAUUCUUUUUAAUUGUGGUGAUUAAUGGGCUAACAUGAAUUGUCACAGAUAUUGGGCUAGAUACGUGCGCAAGGGAGAGGUGAAGGGUGGAGGUAGUAAUUUCGUGAGGCCCAUUGAGCCUAGAUCGAGUGCCGCAUCUCGGUCCAAAUAAGUAUUAUUCAGUUUCUUAUUGUGUUAUUUCCAUUAUUAUUGGUGCAUAGUUAGGAAAGUUUUUCUUUGGUUGAAUGGUGGAUUCAAAUUCAUGAUAAAUAACUGUUUAAGUUACCAUUUUUGUAAUUAGUAAUAGUGUAAUACAUCAGUUUGUAAAAUAUUAUAAUAUGUCUAACAUCACUAUUUUUUUUCUUUUCUGGUGGAGUUUUGGGUUUGAACACUUUAUGUAGAGGUUGUUUUAGCUAUACGACAUUUGUUGGGCUGUUAUAUCCUAGGAGAGACAAGUCAACCAAAGGCUUAAAUCUCAUUAAAGAGAUUGAGUGCUGAGCCUCAGUCCAAAUAGUGUUGUGUAAUUUUUCUCUUUAAAUUAAUAAUAUUUAGAAGUAUUAUUCAAUUUCUUGUUGUGUUAUUUUCAUUAUUAUUGUGUUUGCACCAAUAGUUAGGUAAGUUUUUUUUUUUGGUUGAAUGGUGAAUUCAAAUUCAUAAUAAAUAAUUGUUUAAGUUACCAUUUUUGUGAUUAGUAAUAGUGUAAUACACCAAAAUAUUAUAAUAUGUCUAACAUCACUAUUUUUUUCCUUGCUACUUACAUUUUUACUUCAAUAAUUACUGGAUUCCAAAAAAAAAGAAAAAAAGAAAGAGAAAUGAAAGUUAGAAAGUAAGUAAUAUAUAUAUAUAUAUAUUUCAAUACAUAUAAGUAAUAGGUUAAACCAGGUUUCUCUGUCGCUAGUAAAAGAAGGGUACCCCCAUCUUUUCCUAGGUUGUAGAAUGACUAUCCCUUUCAAUAGGUGCUUUUGUUGGGUUUUUUUUCUUGGGUUUUUGGGAAACACAUUUUUUUAGGAUUCACCAUGGACGACCUCACAAGUCGUUGGACAAGUCUCUCCCUGUUUAAUGAUGAAGGGCUAAAGUUUGAAUGGGUUUAGGAGUUGGCAAUUCCAAAAUAUAUUAUAGCUGCGAGAUUUUUGACUACAAGAGCCCUCAAUAUUGAUGCUGUUGGGAAUUCAACCUAAACUCCAACCUGUGACAAACAAAAAAAAUAGAGAAAACACACGUCAAAGAAAAAUAAUCACACGCACAAGACAGUAUUUACGUGGUUCGGCAAUUUGCCUACGUCCACGGAGUUGCAGGGAUUUCACUAUUAUCAAGGAAAAAUACAAAUUGCGGCUACAAUGUUUUUCUCUCUGUCUAAAACACAACAACAGUAGUCGUCACAAACCCUAAUUAUAAAGGCGGCUUUUAUAUCCUGCUUACAGGGUUAUAAUGGGCUACAAAACGGACCAAAAAUAAACUAGGCUCCACAAAGCCCAACAAAUCUCCCACUUGGAGACUAGUUCAAUCAUCAACAUCAGCCGCUAUCCUCCAAAGGCAAUCCCUCAUCCCUACAACUCAUCCUCCUGUCCUCAAGCAAGAAGACCAAUUGAAGCUGCACACAGCUUCAACUUCUCAAUAGUGACACCCUUAGUCAACAUGUCUGCUGGGUUCUUAGAUCCACAUAUCUUCUCAAGUGUUACCAACUUAUCUUCAAUAAGGUACCGGAUAAAGUGGUAUAUGUUUCGACUUUGAAUGAAAAGCCGAAUUUUUAGUAAGAAAAAUUGCACUCUGACUGUCAUUGUGUAGGAUGCCCAUCUCCUGCUUCUUACCCAAUUCAUCUAAAAAACCAUGUAACCAAAUCAUCUCCUUUCCAGCUUCAGUUGCUGUAACAUACUUAGCUUCUGUAGUAGACAAAGUAACAAUCUUUUGUAGAUUUGAAACCCAUGAUAUAGUUGUACCACCCAGAGUAAAUACAAACCCAGUAGUACUCUUUCUACUAUCAACAUCACCAGCAAAAUCAGCAUCUAUAUAACCUUGCAGCUUCAAACUUGCACCUGUGAAGCAAAGACAUGUAUCUGAUGAACCCUUCAGAUAUCUCAGAAUCCACUUGACUGCCUUCCAAUGUUACUUUUUAGGCCUACUCAUAAAUCUGCUCACAACUCCCACUGCAUGUGCAAUGUCUGGCCUUGUACACACCAUAGCAUACAUCAAGUUGCCAAUAGUUGAGGCAUAGGGCACCUUGCUCAUAUGGUCCCUUUCUUCUUCUGUCUUCAGUGACUGUUCUUUGCUCAGUUUGAAAUGACUACCCAAGGGUGUGCUCACUGGUUUAGAUUCAUUCAUGUUGAACCUGCUGAGAACUUUCUUCACAUACUCUGACUGUGAAAGCUUCAAUGUACCAUUAGCCUUGUCUCUAAUGAUUCUCAUACCAAGGAUUUGCUUUGCAGCUCCCAAAUCCUUCAUUGCAAAUUGUUUUGACAAUUGCUUCUUCAGAUUAUUAAUCUCCUCAAUGUUAGACCCUACAAUAAGCAUAUCAUCCACAUACAACUGUAAAAUGAUAUAAGAAUUAUCAAAGAAUUUAACAUAGCAACAAUGAUCAGCUUCACAUCUCUUGAACCCAAUUUUAUGCAUAAAAUUGUCAAAUUUCUUGUACCACUGUCUAGGAGCUUGUUUUAGGCCAUACAAGCUCUUUCUCAGUUUGCAGACUAGAUUCUCUUGUCCCUGAAAAAUAAACCCUUCUGGCUGAAUCAUGUAAAGGUCUUCCUCCAAAUCACCAUGAAGGAAUGUCGUCUUCACAUCUAACUGCUCAAGAUGUAAGUUUUCUGCAGCCACCAUUCCCAGCACCAGUCUAAUUGUUGACAUCUUCACAACUGGAGAAAAUAUCUCUGUGUAGUCAAUGCAUUCCUUCUGCUGGAACCCUUUAACAACUAAUCUGGCCUUAUAACGUUUGCUAUCAUCAUGCUCAUUCUUUAUUUUGUAUACCCACUUGUUGUGCAAAGCCUUCUUUCCUACUGGCAAUUCAGUCAGUUCCUAUGUCUGAUUCCCCAACAAGGAAUCCAUCUCAUCCUUCAUGGCUAACUCCCACUUGCUUGAAUUUUCAUCUUGCAAGGCUUCAUUAUAACACUCUGGCUCACCACCAUUAGUCAACAGGAGAUAAUUUAAAGCAGGUGAGUAACACUGUGGAGGUCUAAUGUUCCUAGAAGAUCUGCAGACUUUAGCUACAGGUGUACCCUGAUCUACCUGUGAAUCUACAUUCUCCUUAUUUUCUUCACCCCUUUUCUGGACAGUACUUUCAGUCAAUCCAUCUAAGUUGACAAACUCAGAUUUCUUUUGAUCUAUCUCUGCAAUAUCUGAGACUACAAUUGACCUAUCCUUGUACAUAACCUGUUCAUUAAAUAUCACAUUUCUACUUCUGAUGAUUUUCCUGUUUUGUUCAUCCCAAAACCUAUAGCCAAAUUUCUCAUCACCAUAGCCAAUGAAAAAACAUAUUUUAGACUUAGCAUCAAGUUUACUACGAGCAUUAGAAUCAAUAUGAACAUAAGAAAAACAACCAAAAACUUUUAAAUGGGAAAACUUUACCUCUUUACCGCUCCAAACCUCCUCAGGAAAUUUGAAAUCCAUGGGAACUGAUGGCCCUCGGUUUAUCAGGUAAGCUACAGUGCUAACAGCAUCAGCCCAGAAAGUUUUUGGUAGUCCAGUAUGCAACCUCAUACUCCUAGCACGCUCAUUAAGAGUUCUGUUCAUGCGCUCAGCCACACCAUUCUGCUGUGGUGUCCCAGGAAUGGUCUUUUCCAUCCUAAUUCCCUAUGCAGCACAAUACUCACUGAACCCUCCAUCUAUGUACUCUCCUCCAUUAUCAGACCUCAAACAUUUUAGUUUUAAACUUGUUUCUGUCUCAACCAUGGCCUUCCACUUCUUAAAAGUUUCAAAUACAUCAGAUUUAUUUUUCAGAAAAUAAACCCAUACCUUUCUGCUUGAGUCAUCAAUGAAAGUGAUGUAGUGCCUUAAACCUCCAAGGGAUGCAACCGGAGAAGGCUCCCACAAAUCAGUGUGCACUAACUCCAAUUUUUCAGUCUUUGGUGUCCUGCCAAUUUUCAAGAAGCUCACCUUUUUUUGCUUUCCUAAGAUGCAGCUUUCACACAUGUCAAAAUCAAUAGACUUCAAUUCUGGUAGUUUUCCUUUUGAUAGCAACAUCUUCAUUCCUUUCUCACUCAUGUGACCAAGUCUGCGGUACCAUAGGCUUGUAUCAGUACUUACAUCAGCAAUUGCAAUUGUGUCUCUUGGACUUGAGGUCAUAUAUAGAGUACCAGUCUUCUUUCCACGAGCCAAUACCCUAGCUCCCUUUGUAACCUUCCAGGUACCACCAGCAAAUAAUAUUGCAUGCCCUUCAUCAUCAAGUUGUCCAACAGAAAUCAGAUUCCUCCUCAGGUCAGGAAUAUGUCGAACCUUCUCCAGUAACCAAACAGACCCAUUAGGCAACAAUAUCCGGACAUCUCCCAUACCUACAACAUCCAAGGCUGAACCAUCAGCCAAAUACACCUUACCAAAAUCACCUACAACAUAAUUCUGUAUGAUUUCUCGGAGUGGAGUGGUAUGAAACGAAGCUCCUGAGUCCAAAACCCAAUCAUCAAGUGGACUGUCUACUGCAAGAAGUAAUGCAUCCUGUACAUCUUCUGUUACAGCAUUAGCAGAAUCAUCUUCAUUCUUCUUUUUAGGAUUUUUGCAUUGGUUCCUAAAGUGACCUGUUUUUCCACAAUUCCAGCAUUGUACUUGUUGGCCUGAUCUAGAUUUACUUCUAUUCCGAUUAGAAUUUCUGGAUUUUGAUCUACCCCAAUUUGAAUUUCUGUUAUUACCUCGGCCUCUUGUCUCUAGGUUUAGGGCAGAACCAGAUCCUGAGAUUUCACCUGCAUCUCUUCUACGAAUCUCCUCAGUCAGAAUUAAAUCUUGAAUAUCAUUGUACUUGAGCUUUUCCUUUCCUGUAGAAUUACUUACUGCCAUCCUCAUUGCCUCCCAACUGUUUGGCAAAGAAGCCAAAACGAUCAGAGUACGAAUCUCAUCAUCAAAAUCAAUUUCUACAGACGACAAUUGAUUUGUGAUAGUGUUAAAUUCAUUCAGAUGUUGUGCUACUGAUGCGUUCUUUGUCAUCUUCAGAUUAAACAGUUUCUUCAUUAGAUGCACCUUGUUAUUUGCUGAUGGCUUUUCAUACAUACCAGACAAAGCCUUCAUCAGAUCUGCUGUGGUCUUCUCCUUUACAACAUUGUGUGCAACAGACCUAGACAGAGUUAACCUGAUAACUUCCAGUACCUGUCUGUCAAGAAGAGCCCAUUCCUCAGCCUUCAUAGCCUCAGGUUUUUCCCCUAGAAGCGGCAGAUGCAGCUUCCUCCCAUAAAGGUAAUCCUCGAUUUGCAUCCUCCAAAAUCCAAAGUCUGUGCCAUCGAACUUUUCUAUUCCAGACGCCUUUCCUGCUUCCUCUGCCAUUGCUCUCACUCAAACCUAACCCUAGGCUCUGAUACCAGCUGUUAGGAAUUCAACCUAAAUUCCAACCUGUGAGAAACAAAAAAAAAAAUAGAGAAAACAUACGUCAAAGAAAAAUAAUCACACGCACAAGACAGUAUUUACGUGGUUCGGCAAUUUGCCUACGUCCACGGAGUUGCAGGGAUUUCACUAUUAUCAGGGAAAAAUACAAAGUGCGGCUACAGUGUUUUUCUCUCUGUCUAAAACACAACAACAGUAGUCAUCACAAACCCUAAUUAUAAAGGCGGCUUUUAUAUCCUGCUUAUAGGGUUACAAUGGGCUACAAAACGGGCCAAAAAUAAACUAGGCUCCACAAAUCCCAACAGAUGCGAUUGCUUUGACUUUGAAGCCUUUGUGGAGAUCAAAAAAUGGAUUCAAAGUAAAGAAUCAAGGAAAUCAUACAGUUUUAUUCACUUGUGAUAACAAAGUAGACAUUGAUACUAUUUUGGCAAACCAACCUUGGACCUUUGACAAACACCUUAUGGUUUUGCAACACUGUGAAAAGGAUAUGGAUGUCCUUUUAAUCUCACACCAUUUUUGGUCCAAGUGCAUGGGAUUCCAACAAGGUUUAGGAACUAGAAAGUGGCUGAAGGAAUAUGUGAAACCAUUUGUCAAGUUUGUAGUGCACAAGAUGGAGUGGAUUGCAAGGGUACUGGCUUUAUGAGAGUGAGGGUAAUCAUGGAUAUUACUCAACCUUUACGACACGAAAGAAUUAUUUCCUAUGAGAGAGCCUCGAGAUAGCAAAUUAAUAGAGCAAAAAUAACACUCUUUUUCAGCAAAUUAACCACAUUAGAUAUGCAAGAAGUGACCAAAGGGACUCUUGGGGUGCAAGUGGUUCAGCAAUAUGAAAAGUAUUUAGGUUUGCCUUCACUUGUGGGUAAAUAAAAAAAAAAGGUUUUGAUCAUCUAAAGCAAAGGAUUUGGAAGAAAUUACGAAGUGGGAAGUUAAGCUUUUAUCAUAGGCGGGGUGAGAAAUUUUGAUCAAAGCUGUUGUACAAACGCUCCCUACCUAAACAAUGUCUUGUUUUAAGUUACUAGUCACUCUUUGUCCUUAGAUUGAAGCAUUGAUCAGAAUUUUUUUUGGGGACAUCGUGGGGAUGCUAGGAAGAUACAUUGGGUGAAGUGGCAGGAUCUAUGUAAGCCAAAGUCACAUGGUGGUAUGGGUUUUAAGGACCUUUCACGGUUCAAUGAUGCUGUUUUGGCAAAACACACUUGGAGACUCCUUCAUGAUCAUCAAUCAUUAUUUUUUCGGGUCUUCAAAGCAAAAAAUUUCCCGGAUUGUAGUGUUAUGGAAGCAAGGGAACCAAGUAAUGCUUCGUAUGCAUGGAAGAGUAUCCUACGAGGUCUUGAUGUAAUUAAAAGAGGGGCCACUUGGAGGAUUGGGAGUGGAAAUUCAUAUAUGGGGUGAUAAGUGGUUGCCAGGGAAGUUCAAUAAUAAAAUCAUCUCGCCUUCUAUUGCUAGGGAGAGCAUUGCAAUGGUUAGUUCCAUAAUUGACUAGGCAAACCGGGUGUGGAAGAAUGAGCUCAUUGAUUCAUAUUUCUUUGAUUGGGAAGCUGAAAUUAUCAAAAACAUACCUCUUUGUCGAUCUAUAUAGGAUGAUGUUUUAAUCUGGCCUUUUAGCCUAAAUGGAGAAUACAUAGUUCAAAUCGGGUACAAAUUUCUACAGAAUCAGUGCCUAGCUAGUGAACCUUGUUCCUCUGAUGCCACCAUCUUACAACCUUUGUGGAACAAGAUUUGGAUCUUAAAAGUCCCUGGAAAAGUAAAAAUCUAAUUGGCAUGCUUGUAAGAAUUUGUUGCCCACCAAGACAAAUUUGGUUAAAUGCCAAGUGGUUACUAGUGAUUUGUGUGAGAUGUGCAAGUUGUACCUUGAAGACACAACUCAUGCCUUUUAUCGUUGCCCAAAGCUAGAGAAUUUCUAGCAAAACAUCCCUUUAUGGAGUCAUGACACCAUCAGACAAAGCACUGGUUUUUUGGAUAUAAUGUUUGUUGUUUGUGUAGAAAACAUGGACCUACAGUUGUUCUCAUCGGUUUCUUGGGCGUUGUGGAAUCGACGAAACAAUCUCAGAUGAGGGAAACCUUUUAUCCUACUGGAGCAGUUGCUGGAUAGAGCUCGUGAAAUCACACUGGGGUGCUUACCUGGUUCCACCUCGGCAUCAACAGCCCUAAAACAGGCAGCAGCACCGUGGACUCCCCCAACUUUACAUGGUUACAAGAUCAAUUUCGAUGGAGUAAUUUUUGAACAAGAAAACAAAGCUGGUUUGGGAGUAGUUAUACAAAACCAUGAUGGAAUGGUAAUGGCUUCGCUGUCUUAGAUUAUUUUUGCUGCCAUCAACAGUCAUUGAAGUGAAAACUCUAGCAGCAUGGCGGGCAGUGCAGUUCGCUCUAGAACUGGGAUUUGAUAACAUCUUCCUCGAGGGUGAUUCUGAAGUCUUAAUCAAGCUCUUGAACAGUAGCAACAGGUCUUUAGCGCCUUCACGCUUCUCGUGUUUUGAUGUUGCACAUAUCUGACGACAAUGUAAUAAGGUUGCUCAUUUGCUUGCUAGAAGAGCAAUCUUUUCAUCCCUUUGUUCAUAUGGAUGGAAGAUGUUCCACCAGAUAUUUUAACUGUAAUUCAGACUGAUUUAAAUAGCCCCCUAAUAAUACGUAUUGAUUUAUUUCUCCCAAAAAAAAAGGUAAUAGGUUAAUAAAUAUAAGAGAAAUGCUAAUAAGUGUCCUUAAGACAUUAGUUAAUAAUCUAUUUAAAGAAAAUUUUUAUGGAAAAUGAAAAAAAAAAAAAAAAAGAUAAUUAAUAUUUGGUGUAAAUGAACUUUUAGUCCCUACAUUUUGACGUUUUUCCAUUUUAGUCCCUACAUUUUAUUUUUUCCACUUUUAGUCCCUAAAACCAAUUUAUGCGUUCCAUUUUAGUCCUUUCCGUCAGUCAACCGACGGAAAUAGCUGAGGUGGCAGCCGGAGCAAUUAAAAUAUUAUAAAAAUGCCACGUCACCUAUGACACAUCAGCAUAUAAAUUUAAAAAAUUAAUUUAUUAAUUUUAACUAAAUAAUAAAAAUAAAAAUACAAUUAAAAACUAAAAUUCAUAGAAUUAAAACCGAAUUUAAAAAAUCAUAUCAAACUCAAACUCUAUUCUCUCGUCUCAACCAACCCAAACAAAAAUUUAUCAUUAGAUCAUUUUGACUUUAAGUGUAUUUACUUUUCUUUAAGUGAGCUCACUCUAAAAUCAUGAUCUGAUUUUAGAGAGAGGGAGAGAAUGAGAUGAGAUGAGGUUUGGAGCAAAUCUAGAGGAAGGGGGCUGGCCAUUUGGAGCAGAUUUGAGGAAGGUGGCCGACGGUUUGGAGCAGAUCUAAGGAAAGGGGUCGACGGUUUGGAGUAGAUCUAAAGGAAGGUCUCGAUCUUAAUCUUGGUCUCGGCUCCAGCCUCCGUCUUGGUCUCGAUCUCGACCUCCGUUCUGGUCUCGAUCUCGGCCUCCGUUCUGGUCUCGGCCUCCGUCUCGGCCAUAAUGGAGCUCGCCGGUCUUGGCCACAAUGGAGCUCGCCGAUCUCGGCCAUCGUCUUGGCGUGGGUUUGUUGACUGAUCAGUGGGGUGGUGGUGGCUUGAUUGUGUCGGUCAUUGGUGGUCGGAUCUGGGUUUGGUUGUGUUGGUUUGGGUUUGAUUGUGUUGAUCUGUGUUUGUUGUGAUUGGUUUCUUGAUCUGGGUUUAAUCUGGGUUGGUUUUUUAACUGGGUUUAUAGGUUUGAUUUGUUGAGAAUUCGAUGUUGAUUGUGUUAGAAUUUGGGGAAGAACAUGAAGAAUUGAAUGAAAUUGAUUUGUGGUAGAUCUGAUGGUGCUGGGUUUGAUGAUCUCUAAGGUGUUGAAUCUGGGUUUUUUCUUCUUGUUUUCAUUUAUGUCGUAGUGAUCUGGGUUUGAGUUCUUGGGUUGCUGGGUUUGUGUUCUUGUGAUGGGUUUGAGUUCUUGGUUGCUGGGUUUGAUUUGGGAAGAAUAUGAAGAACAUAAAGAAUAAUCUUGGUUGCUGGGUUUAUUGCUAUUUUUAUUUUUAUUAUUUAGUUAAAAUUAAUAAAUUAAUUUUUUAAAUUUAUAUGCUGAUGUGUCAUGGGUGACGUGGCAUUUUUAUAAUAUUUUAAUUGCUCCGGCUGCCACCUCAGCUAUUUCCGUCGGUUGACUGACGGAAAGGACUAAAAUGGAAUGCGUAAAUUGAUUUUAGGGACUAAAAGUGGAAAAAAUAAAAUGUAGGGACUAAAAUGGAAAAACAUCAAAAUGUAUGGACUAAAAGUGCAUUUACGCCUUAAUAUUUUGAUAGUUUUUUACAUUUCCCAUAAAAGUGAUAUCAAAAUUUUUCCUAAAAUGAAUUAUUAAUCAGGACCCUAAAGACACUCAUUACCAUAAUCCUAAAUAUAAUUACCAAAAAUUUUAGGUGGACAGUCAAUAGAAAGCAUAAUCAUGGUUGGUCAUUCAACUAAAAAAGAAAAGAAAAUGGUUCUCAGACAUCAUCAAUUUCCAAAAAAACUGAUGUCAAAGACAUAUGGUCCUAGAUUAUCGGAACCAGACGCUACCUUAAAGCCUAAAAGGUCUAUGCCUGGGUUUGGAUACAGCGUUAAGCUGCGGCGCGUUUCUGAAAUCCUUUUUUUUUUUUUUUUUUUUUCUCGCUUGUGUACAAAAUUUACUGUGAGUGUACUGUUCACGCACUGUUCACGCACUGUUCACGUUAUAUUUAAUAUUAAAAGUGGGUCCCACAAUACUAUUCACACAUUUAAAAAUUAUUUUGCUACAGUAUUUUCAGCAACAAUCAGUUUUUAUCAACUUUCAGCAACAAUAAGUGCUAUCCAAACGGACCCUAUAUAUCCUCGGAUUCUGCACUUAGGAUAGGAUAACUGGAAUUCAAUGCCUUUUCUUUAUCCAGUUGGAGCACAAUAAUGAGGCAUAUGCUGCUGCCUUCAUCAAUGUCACACGAUUUACUGCAUUCUCUACCUACGACUCAUGAAUGCAAAAAUCAUAAUGCUCCGCGACAUGACUAAACUGUGAGACCUAAUAUUUUGUUCCAACUAUAAAAAGGUUGGUCCCCAUGAAGUUUUCCUACCAAGUAAUUCAUCAAAUUUUUAUAGUAUUUAGAGAAUGAAUAAUGAUUUUUACAUUUUUGUUACUCACUUUUUUAAAUAUAUUUUUCAACAAAUUUUCUACCUCAUUCUGGCAUUCUCUAUCUCAUUUAAAUAUUAUUUCUUUAUUCAUUAUUUAUUCUUUUUUUAACAACUACACAUCUUUCAAUAUUUUUUUAUUCAAUACCUGAUUAUUAUAAUAGAAAAAAACAUUUGAAGAAUGAACAAUAGCCCAUAAAAUUUGAUGAGCAACUGUUCAUGAGCAAAAAAAAAAAAAAAAAAAUCCAAGUAUAAAGAAUCCAUUGGAGACUAUUUUUAUGGUCCCAUUCUCUAUUAUAGAGAAUUUUAUGCUUUUGCCUACACAGUUGGAGAUGCUCUUACUUAACUUUUUCUUCUUCUUCAUUUUUUUUUUUUAGAGGUAGUUUCAACCUAUUCCAUUUUUAAUGAUUAUUCUUUAUUAUCAUAGAAAAACACUAAUAACCAUGACACUAAUUGGUUUUUGGUUGUUUUCAGUAUAUGUAGAAAUUGAACCACAAAAUUUUUAUUUGAUAACAAAAUUUUUUACCAAUUGAACUAAUUGGAGUUCAUAUAGACUUAACUUUUUUGUUGAGAAGAAGAGGCUUACUUAACUUGUACAAUACAAACAUAAGAAGUUUAGGAGUCAAAAGUUUUGGACAACAAUAUCGGACAUCUCCUUCUAUAUACUUAUUCCUGGGUAUUAAUAUAAUUCAAACUUGGGAGACUUUAAUUGAAUACCUCCUGUUUGGUUGGAGUAAAAUACGUGAGCUCGCAUUCAUCAAAAUAUGACACUAGAGCACAUGUGUAAGCAAUUUUUAGAUAGAUAAAUUGUUAACCUCUAGAUAAUCAAAAUAUGACAUAGUCUAGUACACCAUAAUAUGCCCAUAUUUGGCUUCAUUUAUUUUACCAUACAUUAACACAAUUCACAGUAAUGACUUGUGUAGGGACUGAAUCUGAGCACUUCUACUGAGGGACAAGUGGACUCAUACCCAACUAGUCCAAUACAAUGAAUUUGUAGAUAAUGAGUUUAAGAACUAGGCCUUACUGCAUGGACAAUGGUCAAUGUGAUGUUCACCACCAUCAAACAUAGACGAACUGAGAUUAUCUUAGAAAGUCUGUCCUCGGCUCAAUCCGAGGAGUUUUGUAGUAAUUAUUGAAUGAGGAUGGUUACAUGAAUCCCUCCUCCUUUUUUGAUCUGUUUUUCCCUAUUAUAUAGUCCUCCUCCAACGAUCUCUUUCUUCCACUUAUUAAUCAUCCAUGCCUCCCUUUGAUUACCCGUCUCAUCAGCCACCUUACCAAACCUCCUAUGAGUUGCAGCAACUAAGACAGCACUGUUCAAAGGUUAUUUCUCUAUUAAUACGGUCAGAACGUUAGUUGUGCGCAUUUAAUGUGGAGGUGACAGCUCCUCCUUGAAUUACUCCUCCACCAUGCUUUCAUAGAUGACCCAUCAUACUUGUCUUUUUCCUGGGGUGCUUAGGGAGGCCGCCUUUGGUGGCGUGCUGCCCUUCCUUUCUGUGGUCUUGAAUGUCCAAGGACAGGAUCGUCCUCGGCGAUAUUCCUUAGCCACUUGGGCUUUCUAUGCCCAUUCUCGGAUGAUUCUUCAUCCUCGGCGUGGGCCUUGGGCUUAAUAUGAAGUGGGCUGGAAUCGUCGGAUUCUUAGGCUCCACAACUUGCAUGGAGCGCAAUGAGCAAAAUAAAAAAACUCAAAAUGGGUCAUUCUUAGGAUAAACAGGGAUACUCAUUGCCUAACGUGAUAAUUUGGCUCUUAGCUACAAAUACAAUUGCUGAAAUUUUCCAAUUAAAGAUGAAAUGAUGCUGACAUACUCAGUACACUGAGUCCGAUGAUAGUGACAAUGGGAUAAGUGUCGUACGAAAAUUCUAUCUCUAUCAACUAUCAUAGAGAAAGCAAACCACUAUUGACCAUAAACAUAGCAUUAUCUUUUUGAGCCGAACCUUAUUCAUGGGAUUGUUGUCUCCAUUUUCUGUGUAUCCUGUGCAAGCACAGGCACUCAAUAGUAGAAAAGAAAGAAAGAAAAGGAAGAUCGAUGUAAUUAUCAAUUUGAAAGUUUGGAUUGCCCAGGUCGAGUGCGCUACUCAUAAACCCAAAUUCCACGCGGAUACUAAGCCGAAAAGAAAUACCAAGAGAUUUGCCGACGGUGCCUAGUUAGAACUGUAUUUCAUUUUCAUUGGUCAACAUUUGGAUAAGCUACUGAAAGCCGACAACCUUUUCCACACCACUUGGAUGACUUUUUAUUUUUUAUUUUUUAUGGAAUACAUGGAUGACUUCUAGGCAUUAUCGUAUUUAAUGUACAAAACCUUGAAGUGAAUGAUGGACAUUAGGGGGCUGUUUGGAUUUUUAGUUUUUAUCGCUUAUAACUCUGUUUUCAUUAUCUAUAACUCUAAAUUGGUGGGUCCCACGACUGAGUAGUGUAUUUGGAUGUGUUUCCAGUUUUUGUUUUCAUUACUCAAUUUUCUGAUUUUUGAGUGACGAGUUAUGGAAACUGAAAAUACAUUUUAGGUGUUUUCAGUUUCCAAAACUUAGUUUCCAUGUCGUUUUUAUAAUUAAACACACAUGCAUGAGACCCAUUGUUAGUGCAAAGUCACACCAGCCCACCUUUUGAUACUACUUGCAAUGGCUCUCUUCAUCAAUGGGAACCACAUCAUUCUUCCAUCUUCAUACCACCACCGAUCGAAGCUUAGACCCAGCAUCUUUUUUUUUUGGUAAACUACACCAACACUGAUUGGAGCUCAAAUCCACCAUCUUCUUCUUCUUUUUCUUUGGUAAACUAUACCACCAUCUACAUACCACCACCGAUUGGAGCUCAGACCCAUCAUCUUCUCCAUCCUUCAUGACUCCACCGUUGGCACCAUCAUCUCAGUCUUAGACCCAUUAAUCUCCAAAAUCAAGAAACAAAAUUUUCAAUUCAAACAAUACCCACACAUUUUUCAAUUCAAACAAUCUCCAAAAUCUCUGACCCACUACUCUAUUUUUCUCUCUCUUUCAGUUUUAGAUUUUUCAUCAAUGGCGUCGCUCGUCGAUCCAGCUCUGUCGCUCAUCAAUGGCGUUGCUCAUCGCUUGUAGGCUUUUUCAGAUUUUUCAUUCAAAAUCUUGAUCCGGCUUUGUCGCUCGUCAAUCCAAAAAAAAAAAAAAAAGGAUCUAUGAAAAAUCACACUAGGCGCAACCGUCAACAAGCUCAGAACAGUCACACCAGGCGCAACCUUGGGAUUUUUCUAGACGGCAACAGAUGGGUCUUGCUAUUUUUCUAAACAGGUUUUUUUUUUGGUGUAUCAUAAAUAAGUAUGAAUGGAGUUUUGAAUUUGGGGUGAUGAGCUGCUUUAGGCGGUGUUAAAUUGUUGAAAGUUUUUGUUGUUUGUACUUCUUUUGUUGCACUUUGGCACUGUGACUGUGGUGGUGUUAAAAUGAAAUAAACAGUGAAAAGAAUGAAGUGAAAUGGGUGUGAGGCGGAUAGACUAAUGGAACUCACUGACAUAGUGCUCAGCUAUGGGUCUCACGGAAAGUACAAAAAAUUGAGUUAUGAGAAGUCGGAAACAGCAAGCCAAAUGUGCCACUUUAGGGAGUUAGGGUAUUUUAAUGAUUAAGUGAUGUGUGACGAACGAUGAGCGAUGAAAAUUAAGUAAGGAUUGAUGAGUGAUAGUUUUUUUAAAACCAGACAGCCCUUAAGUAAGUAAUUGAUCGUGGUAGGUUAAGAAAGUAUGCACCACUUAGCACGUGGUGCUAAAAAGCUAAAAAGUUAUUUUUAGCACCACCAUAUACAAAAAGGGUGCAAUAUUAGUGGUGGUAUAGGUAAAAUUUUUACCUACACAAUUACAGUACACAACUGUAUAUGGCUAUGCAACGUAGUUGAAAGCUAAACUCACAAAUAAUUUUUUAUUCUCACCUCCUAUUAAAAUAUUCUUUUUUUCUUUCUUUCUUUCCUUUUUCUAUUUCUUUAUUCCUCUACUCGAUUCUGUCUUAAGAUCAAACUCUCAAUUCUCUCUCAAACCUGCAGAGAACCAAGUCUUGGUUCUCGUAGACCUCGAAUUUGAUACCGCCGGUGACGAGGAUGGUAUCAGUGCUGACGUAGGUCACAUCUGACGAUUUCUUAUCGAGGCGGUUGUGGCGAAGGGUCAGAGAAGCCGAUUCAGAGGUUGGAAUGCGCAAAUUAUUGAUCUCAAGUGAUAUGUCGAUCUCGUGGCAGAGGUGGCAGAGCGUGAGGUGGUCGGGGACGCUGUCGAUCUCGUGGCAGAGGUGGCAGAGCGUGAGGUGGUCGGGGACGCUGUCGAUCACGCACAGUGCGAUCCGAACAUAGAAGAGCUGGAUUUCGAAGCACGACGAGUGGUUCGGACUCCGAGGUGA
rnacentral:sRNA from 1 species